UACAGAGGUCUCAAGCGUUGUUCGGAUUCAUUGGGCGUAAAGGGUGCGUAGGCGGCGCGGUAAGUCGGGUGUGAAAUCUCGGAGCUUAACUCCGAAACUGCAUUCGAUACUGCCGUGCUUGAGGACUGGAGAGGAGACUGGGAUUUACGGUGUAGCGGUGAAAUGCGUAGAUAUCGUAAGGAAGACCAGUGGCGAAGGCGGGUCUCUGGACAGUUCCUGACGCUGAGGCACGAAGGUCAGGGGAGCAAACGGG
rnacentral:rRNA from 1 species